CAGGAGUGUACGGUUCUCAGUAAGGUUGCCAUACCUCAACUGCUCCUGGAUGAGGCGGUGAAGGACAGUCCCGGAGGAAUCCUCAGCUGUCCGCAUUCUCAACUAACUGGUUGACAACUAACCAGCUACUUUCCAAAGUGAAGGCCUGUGAGAGUUCACUGGCAUCCCAGGACUGGAGGAGGAGAGCCCUGGCAGCAAAGCAGCAAAUUAUUACGAGCCGCUUUUCAUGCACAUUACUGGGGAAAUCUGGAACUACAAGGUUUUGCAAACCUGCACAAACAACAUAACUUGGCAAGUUGGAAACACUAAUAAACUAACUAUGGGGCAAGGGGAGACUGAAGGCACAAAUUAUCCUAGGGCUGGCUCUGAGGACAUUCUAUCCACUGCACCAUGCAGUCUCUUUAGCCUGCCAAGUAAGUGCCUGACCAGAUAGGUUUAAUGCAUGUGGGCACAAAGUUACAGAUGGAUAUCUUUAGUUUGGUCGCACAUUGGACUCCUGUUUCCAGUUAAGCUGUGUAGUUUGGGUUGUAUUUUAAAGACUAUGUUACUCAUAAGAUAUCUAUGUAUUGCUUUCUUGCCAAGGAUGUUUGUGGACUGAGGCUUUUUAUCAGGAGUUGGGUUGGUUCUCAAAAUUACUGUCACACAAUUAAAGAAUUUUUUUGUCAA